rnacentral:rRNA from 1 species
AUUGAACGCUGGCGGCAGGCCUAACACAUGCAAGUCGAACGAGUGGCGGACGGGUGAGUAAUGUCUGGGAACCUGCCUGAUGGAGGGGGAUAACUACUGGAAACGGUAGCUAACACCGCAUACCAUCAGAUGUGCCCAGAUGGGAUUAGCUUGUUGGGGGGGUAACGGCUCACCAAGGCGACGAUCCAUAGCUGGUCUGAGAGGAUGACCAGCAACACGGGAACGGAGAAACGGUCCAGACGCGUACGGGAGGCAGCAGUGGGGAAUAUUGCACAAGGGGCGAAAGCCUGAUGCAGCCAUGCCGCGUGGAUGAAGAAGGCCUUCGGGUUGUAAAGAACUUUCAGCGGGGAGGCGUUACCCGCAGAAGAAGCACCGGCUAACUCCGUGCCAGCAGCCGCGGUAAUAC